GAUGAACGCUGGCGGCGUGCCUAACACAUGCAAGUCGAGCGAAAAGGCCCUGCUCUUGCUCCGUGCUCGAUUGGCGAGCGCGUGAGUAACACGUGAGUAACCUGCCCCUGACUUAGGGAUAAAAUCAGGAAACAGGGGCGAAUACCGGAGAGGAGCUCCUGCUGCAUGUUGGUGGUUGGAAAGUUUCGGCGGUUGUGGAUGGUCUCGCGGCUUAUCAGCUUGUUGGUGAGGUAGUUGCUUACCAAGGCUUUGACGGGUAGCCGGCCUGAGAGGGUGACCGGCCACAUUGGGACUGAGAUACGGCCCAGACUCGUACGGGAGGCAGCAGUGGGGAAUAUUGCACAAUGGGCGGAAGCCUGAUGCAGCAACGCCGCGUGCGGGAUGACCGCCUUCGGGUGGUAAACCGCUUUCGCCUGUGACGAGGCGUGAGUGACGGUACUGGGUCAAGAAGCACCGGCUAACUACGUG
rnacentral:rRNA from 1 species